AGAUGGUGAAACUCAAAUUCUGCCAUCUCUCCUCUCUGUGGGCUACAGCAUGAGUGACACCAUGACCUCAGGGCUGUGUGCUUCCAGGGCCUUGACACACUGUGACUCCUCCAAGGAAGAGAAGAAAAGGAUGUUUUCCUGGAUUUAUCUCAGAGCUCCAUUAGCAGAUGCUACAGACAAGUGGGAUCUGAAAGGAUGCAGCAUUCGGAAUGGUCUCCCCAUUGUGGACAGUCAGCAUCCCCAGCUUGGGACUGAAGUGCCUGCCUAACCCUGGGAGGCUUUUAUGGAAAAGAGGCCAGACGGAGAAGAAGACUGGUCCUGCCUGGGGCAGCAAAGCUCCAACUCUGUUUCAGAGUUGAAGGGUUGAGACCAACUGUCUCACCUUACAGAGGAAGGAACUAGAGUUGACCGUGGAGUGACUUGCUCAAGGUCACACCAUCAGUUGGGGGCAGAGUAGAAAUUAGAACCCAGGACUAGUCUUGCAGCUGGAACCUGUGAAAGGCUGUUGAAAGCAGCAAACUCAAAAAAAAAAAAAGAAAGAAAGCAAGCAGCAAACUCAGAAGCAUACAAGGACCAGUGAAGACAUCUAAUGCAUGAAGGAGGCUGGAUUUUUCUAGAGAGUACUGCUGACUGUGGUUUGGGUGUGUGUGUGCGUGUGUGCGUGGUGUGUGUGUGUGCGUGUGUGUGCGUGUGUAUGUGUUUCACUUCCCCACCUUAGAGAGAGAGAGAAGCACAGAGAAAUGUCUCUCUGCUGUAAGAAACACAGCAGUGUCCCAGCAAGAGAAACGGGGACUGACCUGCCG